ensembl:lncRNA
AUGACAUGUCGUCUGAUCAGGAGGUGGUGGUGUGCUGUUCUCCUGGACAACUUCACUCCACAAAUCUCUCAACCACGAAGGUGGGGCUUCACCAUCAAAAGACAAUGUCUUUAGGCAGAGUCCAGCGAAGCAGAGUAUGCAGUUGUGACAACAAUCUAUCAGAUGGUUUAGGGAUGUGGUCACUCAAGAAGUUUUUCGGAAAGCAGCACACUUUGCCUGUUUAGACAGUGUGGCCAACUGGAAGAAUUUCACUCCCAUCUACCGGAAAGAGUUCAGAUGCAUGUACAGCUUCAGGGAAUGCUUGCAGUGCAGAACCCUUUUCCAGUCAUACCCACCAGAGUAUAGGGGAAGAGGCCGACAUGGUGAACUUCUGGGCUUUUACUCAGAUGUUUACACAGGAUUUUGCUCCCAGAACUGUUUUU